UGGUGGAGCGAUUUGUCUGGUUAAUUCCGAUAACGAACGAGACUCUAGCCUACUAAAUAGUUCGGGGACCCCCACAAAGGGGCCCCGGCUUCAACUUCUUAGAGGGACAGGUGGCGUUUAGCCACACGAGAUUGAGCAAUAACA
rnacentral:rRNA from 1 species